rnacentral:rRNA from 1 species
AACGAACGCUGGCGGCGUGCCUAACACAUGCAAGUCGUGCGAGAAAGUUCCUUCGGGAACGAGUAAAGCGGCGCACGGGUGAGUAACACGUAGGUAACCUGCCCCCCAGUCUGGAACAACUAGAGGAAACUCUAGCUAAUGCCGGAUGAGACCACGAUCCCUUCGGGGGUUGCGGCCAAAGAUGGCCUCUACUUGUAAGCUAUCGCUGAGGGAUGGGCCUGCGGGCCAUUAGCUUGUUGGUGAGGUAACGGCUCACCAAGGCUGUGAUGGCUAGCUGGUCUGAGAGGAUGCCAGCCACACUGGGACUGAGACACGGCCCAGACUCCUACGGGAGCAGCAGUGGGAAUAUUGCGCAAUGGGCGAAAGCCUGACGCAGCGACGCCGCGUGGGUGAUGAA